rnacentral:rRNA from 1 species
AAUACAUGCAAGUCGAACGCUUUGUGGUUCAACUGAUUUGAAGAGCUUGCUCAGAUAUGACGAUGGACAUUGCAAAGAGUGGCGAACGGGUGAGUAACACGUGGGAAACCUACCUCUUAGCAGGGGAUAACAUUUGGAAACAGAUGCUAAUACCGUAUAACAAUGACAACCGCAUGGUUGUUAUUUAAAAGAUGGUUCUGCUAUCACUAAGAGAUGGUCCCGCGGUGCAUUAGCUAGUUGGUAAGGUAAUGGCUUACCAAGGCGAUGAUGCAUAGCCGAGUUGAGAGACUGAUCGGCCACAAUGGGACUGAGACACGGCCCAUACUCCUACGGGAGGCAGCAGUAGGGAAUCUUCCACAAUGGGCGAAAGCCUGAUGGAGCAACGCCGCGUGUGUGAUGAAGGGUUUCGGCUCGUAAAACACUGUUGUAAGAGAAGAAUGACAUUGAGAGUAACUGUUCAAUGUGUGACGGUAUCUUACCAGAAAGGAACGGCUAAAUACGUGCCAGCAGCCGCGGUAAUACGUAUGUUCCAAGCGUUAUCCGGAUUUAUUGGGCGUAAAGCGAGCGCAGACGGUUAUUUAAGUCUGAAGUGAAAGCCCUCAGCUCAACUGAGGAAUUGCUUUGGAAACUGGAUGACUUGAGUGCAGUAGAGGAAAGUGGAACUCCAUGUGUAGCGGUGAAAUGCGUAGAUAUAUGGAAGAACACCAGUGGCGAAGGCGGCUUUCUGGACUGUAACUGACGUUGAGGCUCGAAAGUGUGGGUAGCAAACAGGAUUAGAUACCCUGGUAGUCCACACCGUAAACGAUGAGUGCUAGGUGUUUGAGGGUUUCCGCCCUUAAGUGCCGCAGCUAACGCAUUAAGCACUCCGCCUGGGGAGUACGACCGCAAGGUUGAAACUCAAAGGAAUUGACGGGGACCCGCACAAGCGGUGGAGCAUGUGGUUUAAUUCGAAGCAACGCGAAGAACCUUACCAGGUCUUGACAUCCCUUGACAACUCCAGAGAUGGAGCGUUCCCUUCGGGGACAAGGUGACAGGUGGUGCAUGGUUGUCGUCAGCUCGUGUCGUGAGAUGUUGGGUUAAGUCCCGCAACGAGCGCAACCCUUAUUACUAGUUGCCAGCAUUCAGUUGGGCACUCUAGUGAGACUGCCGGUGACAAACCGGAGGAAGGUGGGGAUGACGUCAAAUCAUCAUGCCCCUUAUGACCUGGGCUACACACGUGCUACAAUGGCGUAUACAACGAGUUGCCAACCCGCGAGGGUGAGCUAAUCUCUUAAAGUACGUCUCAGUUCGGAUUGUAGGCUGCAACUCGCCUACAUGAAGUCGGAAUCGCUAGUAAUCGCGGAUCAGCACGCCGCGGUGAAUACGUUCCCGGGUCUUGUACACACCGCCCGUCACACCAUGAGAGUUUGUAACACCCAAAGCCGGUGGGGUAACCUUCGGGAGCCAGCCGUC